rnacentral:lncRNA from 1 species
AAAAAUGUAAAUUUAAAAAACAUUAAUACAAAUUUAAUUUGAUUAAUAUUUUUUACAUCAAUUUAUUUAAAUAAACUUAUUUGUCCAAAAAAUAUAAUUUCUAAAACACAACCAAAAAUAUUAAAAAGUUUAAUAAAAAUUUAACUAUCUUAAAAAUCUAAAACUAUAAUUAUAUAAUAAUAAUAAUAUACAUUUGGAGAUGACAAAGAAAAUAUUGGAGUGAGAGAGAUGAAAGAGAAAGAGUUGAGAGGAAUAAGAAAAGUGAGUAGGGGUUUAGGGAGUUACUAUUUUUUUUUUUUAGUUUUGAGAAUGAGAAAAAAAGUUUGAGUGAGAGAUGAAAGAGAAAGGGUUGAGAGAAAUGAGAGAGGCGAGUAAGGGAGUUUUUUUUUUUUUAGUUUUGAGAAUGAAAAUUAUUAAAAUACCCUUGACCUUAAAACUUAUAAUCCAUGAUAUAUAAGGGUAUUUUUGUCCUUGACCUUAAAACUUAGAAUCCAUGAUAUAUAAGAGUAUUUUUGUCUACUAAAACCUGAUACACAUUGCUAAAAUGUACCAAUUAAAAAAACAACUUACGUGCAUUAGCAAACCCUA